ensembl:snRNA U6 U6 spliceosomal RNA
GCGCUCGCUUCGGCAGCACAUAUACUAAAACUGGAAUGAUACAGAAAAGAUUAGCAUGGCCACUGCACAAGGAUGACAUGCAAAUUCGUGAAGCGUUCCAUAUUUUU